rnacentral:lncRNA from 1 species
AUGAAGAAACUUGCCCGUGGUCACACGGUUGUUAGAGGAAGCACCGGAAACCGACCCCCCCCGGCUUGCGUUCUUUCCACCUUGUUGUCUGUUCUGCAGGCUGCCAUUGAGGUUGACCGUCUCCACAAGUGUUCACCGAUGGUCCAUGACGACGAUGGUCACAGGGUAGAAAGGAUGGAAUUCUAUGAAUUUCUUGCUGUUGUAGAUUUGGGUUAUAGUCUUCGCUGGAAGUUACUGAGAGAAAAGCCACCUUUUGCUUCAUCGUUGUGUGUGGGCACCGAGGAGACCUGGCGAAGGGCCGUGUGUGGUAAGUUGUGAUGGAGAGAGAGGUGUGAGUCUGGAGGUUGGAAAACCUGGGUUUUGAUUCUAGCUUUGUUGUUUAUUGUGUGAUGUUGGGUGAAUCCCAUAGACUUUCUUAGACGGUG